CGUAGCUCAGUUGGUUAGAGCGCAUCGUUGACAUCGAUGAGGUCUGCAGUUCGACUCUGCACG
rnacentral:tRNA from 1 species